UAGGGAAUCUUCCGCAAUGGACGCAAGUCUGACGGAGCAACGCCGCGUGAGUGAAGAAGGAUUUCGGUUCGUAAAACUCUGUUGUUAGAGAAGUACAGCGCAUAGAGUAACUGUUAUGCGUGUGACGGUAUCUAACCAGAAAGCCACGGCUAACUACGUGCCAGCAGCCGCGGUAAUACGUAGGUGGCAAGCGUUGUCCGGAUUUAUUGGGCGUAAAGCGAGCGCAGGCGGUCAAUUAAGUCUGAUGUGAAAGCCCCCGGCUCAACCGGGGAGGGUCAUUGGAAACUGGUUGACUUGAGUGCAGAAGAGGAGAGUGGAAUUCCAUGUGUAGCGGUGAAAUGCGUAGAUAUAUGGAGGAACACCAGUGGCGAAGGCGACUCUCUGGUCUGUAACUGACGCUGAGGCUCGAAAGCGUGGGUAGCAAACAGG
rnacentral:rRNA from 1 species